ACUACCCCCUGAACAUGACUGAUGUCUCUAAUCUGAUGCAAAGGUGGGUUGGGCCUGGUUAGUACUCAGAUGGGAGGCCAUCUGGGAAUGUCAGGUGUU
rnacentral:rRNA from 1 species